CCAUGGAGGAGUGAGCAUCCCCUGCCGAAGAAGAUUAAGCCAUAUCCAGUUAUUGCCGAUCCUGGAGGGACCCCAAACCCUUGUGAUGUCCUGAAAGUACUACAAUCCUGAGGACAGAAGCCAUUAGAACCAAUAAUGUCCAAAAUAAGUGCCAAAGGAAGCAGCUUCCUGGAUGGUGUGUAGGCUGUUUGUCAACAUGUGAAACCCACGGG